AACGAACGCUGGCGGCAUGCCUAACACAUGCAAGUCGAACGAGACCUUCGGGUCUUGUGGCGCACGGGUGCGUAACGCGUGGGAACCUGCCCUUAGGUUCGGAAUAACUCCCCGAAAGGGGUGCUAAUACCGGAUAAUGUCUUCGGACCAAAGAUUUAUCGCCUUUGGAUGGGCCCGCGUUGGAUUAGCUAGUUGGUAGGGUAAAAGCCUACCAAGGCGACGAUCCAUAGCUGGUCUGAGAGGAUGAUCAGCCACACUGGGACUGAGACACGGCCCAGACUCCUACGGGAGGCAGCAGUGGGGAAUAUUGGACAAUGGGCGAAAGCCUGAUCCAGCAAUGCCGCGUGAGUGAUGAAGGCCUUAGGGUUGUAAAGCUCUUUUACCCGGGAUGAUAAUGACAGUACCGGGAGAAUAAGCACCGGCUAACUCCGUG
rnacentral:rRNA from 1 species